AAUAUUCUUCGGGGCGAGGUGUAAAUCCUCACCGGUGGUGAUAGUCCAUGAGUCGCAAGAUUGAAUCGGUGAAAUUCCGAUACCGACGGUAUAGUCCGGAUGAAAGAAGAAUGGA
rnacentral:ncRNA from 2 species